AAGACUUGCAACUCGACUUAGACUUUAACAUCCAUGACUUGUGACUUGACUUGGACUUGAGCCUUUUGACUUGACAUGACUUGCUACUUUCCCCAAAACCCAACGAUUAAAAAGUUAUUCAGGAGCGCUCCGUAUCUGUCCGUGUGUGCGAUGACAGUGUGCGCGCUACCUGUCAGAACAACAGCCAAUCAAAUUACAUCCCUGUUAAUUUCGUCACACAGCAUUCAGCCAAUCAAAUUGCAUGAAAACCAACGAAGAGCUCUCAAACGACACGCCAGUGAGGAAAAAUUAUGCCAAAAAUUGUUUUGUUCGGGUUUAAAAACUACGACUUGGUCAACAAAAAACGAAUUGCCGUAUGCAAAGCAUGCAGUUCGUAAGAAGAUUACAGACAGAGACGCAACAACUUCCAACUUCGUUCGACAUUUGAAGUUGCACAAAGAAGGUACUGUCGCCAGCGCCCCCCGCGACCCCGAAAGGGAAUAAGCGGUAGAAAAUGGAUGGAUGGAUGGAUGUUUGGUGACCAGGGUGGCAUCACAUUACAUAUUUACCAUGAAAGAGCAUGCGCUCGUUAUGGUGGUUGUGGUUUUCAUCAGCAAUCUCCUUCUGGCGGUAUGCUCCAUUUGCCGUCCCGGUGGCACCGCCUACCGUUAUGUCGCCAAGGGGCAUAGUCAGGUUGUCAAUGCUGCUGGCGGCUGACAAGCAGGAUGACGGUGACGGCGAGGGAGAGAUGACCACGGCCCCUGUGGCACCAGCCGUCACCACACUGGCACUCACCUGCAAGUGUAAAUGACAGGAUUUGGCUUUAGGAACAAAAAAAGAAAAAGUGGUAAUUUACUCUGUCUUGAACUCUUUUCAACCUCAAUUUAGUUCAGUUUCUUGAACUCACAGUUGCCCUCUUUUUACACUUCACUUGCUUCACAUUGUAACUCCAGGCAGAACCGCUUUUAAUAAUUCAAACAUUUUCACUUCUUGACACACACCAUUUUAGUAUGAACAUGCUGCAGAUCACAAUGCUUUAUAUUUUCACAAGUGUUGCAGCCAACAGCAGGUUGUUCUUUCCCCCUAUUAAACCAUUAUUAUCAUUA